AUCCAGAUGACGAGUUCCAAAUAGCAUAAAACGCGCGUCCUGGAU
rnacentral:hammerhead_ribozyme from 1 species